UACGGAAGGGGCUAGCGAUGUUCGGAAUUACUGGGCGUAAAGAGGGCGUAGGCGGCUUACCAAGUUGGUGGUGAAAUCCCGGAGCUCAUCUCCGGAACUGCCUGCAAAACUGUUAGGCACGAGUCCGGAAGAGGGGCGUGGAAUUCCCAGUGUAGAGGUGAAAUUCGUAGAUAUUGGGAAGAACACCGGUGGCGAAGGCGGCGCCCUGGUCCGGUACUGACACUGAGGCAGGAAAGCUUGGGGAGCAAACAGG
rnacentral:rRNA from 1 species